AUGAAUUUCAUUGAAUUAGGAAUUCAUGAACGUCACAGAAGAUCCCACCACAAAAAGACCAAGCAGCGUGGUCCGGAGCAAUGGACCUGGGAAGACAUCCUGGACGGCAAGGGAUCCUGGACAUGGGAGGAGAUCCAGGCCGGAUGGAAUCGCCUCCCAUGGGAAAAGGUGGAGGCAGCGAGAGCAGAGCAGCGACGAGAUGAGGAACUAGCACGUCAACGACGGAAGCACGAGAGGCAGCCCCCAAUUUUUUUGGGGGGGGGGCACACGGGUAGAUUGGCAGAGUCAGGGUGGAGACCUGAGCCAACUCCCCAUGCUUACCGUGGGGAGCGAGUGACUGAGCAAGCUCCGUGUUAUGUGGUGAUGCGCACUGUGUCGCCAGUGCGCAUUCACAGCCCGGUGCGCUCUGUGCAAGCGCCCUGCAUUUGCCGGGCUGGAGUUAGCAUUCAGCCAGGAAGGGUGGUGCCAGCUCAGUGCUCCUGGUCUGCAGUAUGCCUCCUCGGUCCAGGAUAUCCUGCGCCGGCUCCGCGCACUGUGUCACCAGUGCGCAUUCACAGCCCAGUGCGUCCUGUGCCAGUGCCCCACAUUUGCCGGGCGAAAGUAAGCAUCCAGCAAGGACGGGUUGUGCCAGCUCUACGCUCGAGACCUCCAGUGCGCCUCCACGGCCCAGUAUAUCCUGUGCCUGCCCCACACACCCGGCCUCCAGUGAGUCUCUCCAGCCUGGUACGCCCUGUGGCAGCUCCACGCACCAGGCUGUCAGUACGUCUCUUCAGUCCAGUGAGACCCGUUCCGGCUCCACAUACGAAGCCUCCAGUGAUGAUCCAUGGUCCGACACCUCCAGUGAUGAUCCAUGGCACGAAGCCUCCAGUGAUGAUCCAUGGCACGAAGCCUCCAGUGAUGAUCCAUGGCACGGAGCCUCCAGUGAUGAUCCAUGGCCCGGAGCCUGUAGUGAUGAUCCAUGGCACAAAGCCUCCAGUGAUAAUCCAUGGCCCGGAGCCUCCAGUGAUAAUCCAUGGCAAGAAGCCUGUAGGGAUGAUCCAUGGCCCGGAGCCUGUAGGGAUGAUCCAUGGCACGGAGCCUGCAGUGAUGGUCCCCAAUCUGGAACCUCCUGAGACGGCCCACAGUCCGGAACCUCCAGCGACGUUCCCCAGUCCGGAGCCUCCAGCGACGUUACGCAGUCCAGAGUCUUCAGCGGCGGUCUGCAGUCCAGAGUCUUCGGCGGCGGUCUGCAGUCCAGAGUCUCCGGCGGUCUGCAGUCCAGAGUCUCCGGCGGCGGUCUGCAGUCCAGAGUCUCCGGCGGCGGUCUGCAGUCCAGAGUCUCCGGCGGCGGUCUGCAGUCCAGAGUCUCCGGCGGCGGUCUGCAGUCCAGAGCCUCCGGCGGCGGUCUGCAGUCCAGAGCCUCCAGCGGCGGUCUGCAGUACAGAGUCUCCUGCGAUGAUCCACGAUCCAGUUCCGACGACGACAAUCCACAGUCCGGUGGUACAAAAGCGGAGGGAUCAGCGGGUGGAGCGGGGGCUACGCCCCGAACCGGAGCCGCCACCAUGGGUAGAUGCCCGCCCGGACCGUCCCCUAUAG
rnacentral:lncRNA from 8 species